UACGGAGGAUCCAAGCGUUAUCCGGAAUUACUGGGCGUAAAGAGUUGCGUAGGUGGCAUGGUAAGUUGAUAGUGAAAGCGUCCGGCUCAACCGGAUACACAUUAUCAAAACUGCCAAGCUAGAGGACAAGAGAGGUCACUGGAAUUCCUAGUGUAGGAGUGAAAUCCGUAGAUAUUAGGAGGAACACCGAUGGCGUAGGCAGGUGACUGGCUUGUUCCUGACACUAAGGCACGAAAGCGUGGGGAGCGAACGGG
rnacentral:rRNA from 1 species